CAGAGUUAGGGUCUUCUAGGCCCGAUCUCCCAACCCUAUGUUUACUUGACCACUGUUGCUUCGGCGAGCCCGUCUUCAUUGACCGCCGGAAGACCGUCAAACGUCUUCUGGUCCGCGCUCGCCGGUGGCCAACACUUAUAAAUUCUUAACUAAACGUGUUUUAUCUGAGUACUAUAUUUUAAUAAAAGCA
rnacentral:misc_RNA from 1 species